ACGAACGCUGGCGGCGUGCCUAAUACAUGCAAGUAGAACGCUGAAGAGAGGAGCUUGCUCUUCUUGGAUGAGUUGCGAACGGGUGAGUAACGCGUAGGUAACCUGCCUUGUAGCGGGGGAUAACUAUUGGAAACGAUAGCUAAUACCGCAUAACAAUGGAUGACACAUGUCAUUUAUUUGAAAGGGGCAAUUGUUCCACUACAAGAUGGACCUGCGUUGUAUUAGCUAGUAGGUGAGGUAAUGGCUCACCUAGGCGACGAUACAUAGCCGACCUGAGAGGGUGAUCGGCCACACUGGGACUGAGACACGGCCCAGACUCCUACGGGAGGCAGCAGUAGGGAAUCUUCGGCAAUGGGGGCAACCCUGACCGAGCAACGCCGCGUGAGUGAAGAAGGUUUUCGGAUCGUAAAGCUCUGUUGUAAGUCAAGAACGGGUGUGAGAGUGGAAAGUUCACACUGUGACGGUAGCUUACCAGAAAGGGACGGCUAACUACGUGCCAGCAGCCGCGGUAAUACGUAGGUCCCGAGCGUUGUCCGGAUUUAUUGGGCGUAAAGCGAGCGCAGGCGGUUUGAUAAGUCUGAAGUUAAAGGCUGUGGCUCAACCAUAGUUCGCUUUGGAAACUGUCAGACUUGAGUGCAGAAGGGGAGAGUGGAAUUCCAUGUGUAGCGGUGAAAUGCGUAGAUAUAUGGAGGAACACCGGUGGCGAAAGCGGCUCUCUGGUCUGUAACUGACGCUGAGGCUCGAAAGCGUGGGGAGCGAACAGGAUUAGAUACCCUGGUAGUCCACGCCGUAAACGAUGAGUGCUAGGUGUUGGAUCCUUUCCGGGAUUCAGUGCCGCAGCUAACGCAUUAAGCACUCCGCCUGGGGAGUACGACCGCAAGGUUGAAACUCAAAGGAAUUGACGGGGGCCCGCACAAGCGGUGGAGCAUGUGGUUUAAUUCGAAGCAACGCGAAGAACCUUACCAGGUCUUGACAUCCCGAUGCUAUUUCUAGAGAUAGAAAGUUACUUCGGUACAUCGGUGACAGGUGGUGCAUGGUUGUCGUCAGCUCGUGUCGUGAGAUGUUGGGUUAAGUCCCGCAACGAGCGCAACCCCUAUUGUUAGUUGCCAUCAUUCAGUUGGGCACUCUAGCGAGACUGCCGGUAAUAAACCGGAGGAAGGUGGGGAUGACGUCAAAUCAUCAUGCCCCUUAUGACCUGGGCUACACACGUGCUACAAUGGUUGGUACAACGAGUUGCGAGUCGGUGACGGCGAGCUAAUCUCUUAAAGCCAAUCUCAGUUCGGAUUGUAGGCUGCAACUCGCCUACAUGAAGUCGGAAUCGCUAGUAAUCGCGGAUCAGCACGCCGCGGUGAAUACGUUCCCGGGCCUUGUACACACCGCCCGUCACACCACGAGAGUUUGUAACACCCGAAGUCGGUGAGGUAACCUUUUGGAGCCAGCCGCCUAAGGUGGGACAGAUGAUUGGGGUG
rnacentral:rRNA from 1 species